UAGUCUAGUUCCUUUUUGGAGCUUGGGAACCGGGGCGGGAGAAUGGCGUCCCUCAAGACCCUCGUGGAUGUGGUUCUCUCAGGCCAACGUUCCUUCCUCGGGGACUGUCCUGGAGAGGCUUUGGCCCUUACCUCUCCCCAGCUCAGCCCCUAGGCCACAGCUCUGGGUCAUACAGCCUCCUAAAAUCCUGAGCUGUUCUUUACUGUGCCACAUUUUUAUCACAUUUGAGUGCCUGCUGUGUGCCAUGCACGUUUCUAAUCCUUAAAUGGAUGAAACAAAAGCCUUAGAUGUUACAGUGGAGAAGAAAAAUCAAGACAAAAAUACCCAAUAUAUCUUAGGGUGACAAAUGCUAAGGAGAAAAACGGAGGAAGGAGUCCCUUCUCUCACUGAUGAGUCUGAAGAAGGAACUGGGCUAUGAUGGGCAGCCUCCCCCCACAACUCUGAGACCGGCUGACCUAUACAACCUCGUGGACGCACCCAGAAGUGAUGGUUUACCAGCUCCCCGAGCCUCCCUGAGCCCAGUCAAGUUGAUGCAGAAAGUUACCCAUCACAAGUCUUGGGAUAAGAUCGUCCUGGAUUCUCCAGUGGCAUAAAUCCAAUGACAGAUGUCCUUAGGAGGACAGGAAAAGGCAGAGAGAAGUAUGAGACACGUAGACAGGUAAAGA